AGAGUUUGAUCCUGGCUCAGGACGAACGCUGGCGGCGUGCUUAACACAUGCAAGUCGAACGGAGCACCCUUGACUGAGGUUUCGGCCAAAUGAUAGGAAUGCUUAGUGGCGGACUGGUGAGUAACGCGUGAGGAACCUGCCUUCCAGAGGGGGACAACAGUUGGAAACGACUGCUAAUACCGCAUGACGCAUGACCGGGGCAUCCCGGGCAUGUCAAAGAUUUUAUCGCUGGAAGAUGGCCUCGCGUCUGAUUAGCUAGAUGGUGGGGUAACGGCCCACCAUGGCGACGAUCAGUAGCCGGACUGAGAGGUUGACCGGCCACAUUGGGACUGAGAUACGGCCCAGACUCCUACGGGAGGCAGCAGUGGGGAAUAUUGGGCAAUGGGCGCAAGCCUGACCCAGCAACGCCGCGUGAAGGAAGAAGGCUUUCGGGUUGUAAACUUCUUUUGUCAGGGAAGAGUAGAAGACGGUACCUGACGAAUAAGCCACGGCUAACUACGUGCCAGCAGCCGCGGUAAUACGUAGGUGGCAAGCGUUGUCCGGAUUUAUUGGGCGUAAAGGGAACGCAGGCGGUCUUUUAAGUCUGAUGUGAAAGCCUUCGGCUUAACCGGAGUAGUGCAUUGGAAACUGGAAGACUUGAGUGCAGAAGAGGAGAGUGGAACUCCAUGUGUAGCGGUGAAAUGCGUAGAUAUAUGGAAGAACACCAGUGGCGAAAGCGGCUCUCUGGUCUGUAACUGACGCUGAGGUUCGAAAGCGUGGGUAGCAAACAGGAUUAGAUACCCUGGUAGUCCACGCCGUAAACGAUGAAUGCUAGGUGUUGGAGGGUUUCCGCCCUUCAGUGCCGCAGCUAACGCAAUAAGCAUUCCGCCUGGGGAGUACGACCGCAAGGUUGAAACUCAAAGGAAUUGACGGGGGCCCGCAC
rnacentral:rRNA from 1 species